UACGUAGGGACCGAGCGUUGUCCGGAAUCAUUGGGCGUAAAGAGCGUGUAGGCGGCCAAUUAAGUCCUGCGUGAAAUCUCGGGGCUCAACCCCGAGCGGUCGUGGGAAACUGGUUGGCUAGAGUGCGGGAGAGGAGAGUGGAAUUCCUGGUGUAGCGGUGAAAUGCGCAGAUAUCAGGAGGAACACCGGUGGCGAAGGCGGCAUCCUGGACCGGCAUUGACGCUGAGGCGCGAAAGCUAGGGGAGCAAACGGG
rnacentral:rRNA from 1 species